GUUGCAGCAUAGGGUUCCCUUCGGAGAUCAGUUCGGCAAGUUCGUGCGUGUCUUUCUUCCUUCACCCACAACAGAGCCUCUUGGAUGGCGAGGGUUUCUGCAACCCAGGCGGUCAGAGCAGCGAUUUCCUUUGCAAAACCAGCGACCAGAAGCCUUGCAGCAUUCCUGCAAACACCCGCAACUAAGCCCUCCAUUGUCGAGCAGUUCCAAGACGCAUCCACAUUCAUCCUCAGCAUCUGUGGGUUAGGUGGUUUCCAUUUUUCCGAUCUGCCGGGAUCUAUUUGUUGUCGGCUAAAGCUUUCCUUUCCUUUGGCGAACCAUUUUAUGCGGAGAUCUACUGCGAUUCGUGCUUCUUCUUGGGUGCAAAGUGGAUCGACCUUCUUCCCUUGGAAGAUCGCUAAGUUGCAGGUUUUCCAUAUUUGCCAUAGUAGAGCAGCAAAACGGAUUUUCGGUUCUGAUCCGAUCCUUGAGUCGCAGAGGAUGAAGAUCUGCUUCGUUGUUUUGGGAGCUUGGCCAUAGAUUUGGCAUGUUGGGUCAGGGUGAACAAGAACAAGUGCCAUCGAGUUGUCUGCUUCUACUGUUGUUUUCAUGGUUGAUUCAAUCACCUCUGUUUGAGUUUCCAUAAUGACUUCUUCUUCAGAGACCAGGG